rnacentral:lncRNA from 1 species
AAUUGAUAACAUAGACUUUCAAUUCACCAUAUAUAAACCGUACACAAACCUAGCUAGGCCAUAAGAGAUUAACAAAAAGCACCAUCAUUAUGUUCAACUGCCUCAUAUGCAGUCCAACAUGGUAACACAGCAAAAAGAACUACAUAAUUUGGGCAAACAUACAGUACACAUCAAAAUAUGACUGCAAAUCAAAUGCUGGCAUAAAUCUAUAGGCAAGCUGAUGGAUGCUUUGUAUCGAACUACAUAAUCUGGGCAAACAUACAGUACACAUCAAAAUAUGACUGUAAAUCAAAUGCUGGCAUAAAUCUAUAGGCAAACUGAUGGAUGCUUUGUAUCUCCAAAACAGUACUAAAUGAAACCAUACACUAGCUUGCUAGUUAUUUGUAAACUUAAGAACAUACUUUGCCCACUCUUGCCGAAUAACAUCAACAUUCUCCAUGGUGUAAUAUGCAUCUCCCCUUGUCAACCA